rnacentral:lncRNA from 1 species
GAGUCCCGCCAUACCAAACAAUAUACGUCUAAAUCAUACUAACCAAACAAACAACUCCGAAGCAAAUGGAGCGCACCAACAUCUUAUGCUGAGCUAAUAGCCUACUUGGAGGGCUUUCGACCUGUCUAUCGGAACCUGCGGGCAUGAAACGCAGCGUUCCCAGGCAAAAGGGACGUCAGUACAAAAUAAUGUAUUGAGUAUAUAAGGCAAUAUACUGAAUGCUGAAACUAAAAUGAUAAUAUAAUAACUGCAAGUAGCUGGAAGUCAAAGAUAAUCUAAAGAUAUGCUUACCUGCUGAUACUGACUCAACUAUAUCAAUAUAGUAGGUAAAAUAGUUGUCCGGCCCUAUAAGGCUCGGUAUAUAUAUAACUGCUCUGCCGUAGUAGGCUUGCUCAUAUGUGCUCGACCAUACUAGGCUUUGUAUCUCGACCAACUGGGCUCGCUCAUAGGCGCUCGACCACAGUAGGCUUGGUAAAUAACUUACCAUCUGAUUAGAGGUUGCCCAAUAGGAGCCUGACAUCGAUUAUAGCUCGAUGGUAAUGAAAACACUUUUAAUACUGUAUAUUUGUAAAUUCUAUGCUCUCUUGACUGAAAGAAGGAAAUACUCAACUGAAUAUGAAGUCCCGAUAAGGAGAAUAUUAUAGCUUACAAACUAGGAAAAUAUAUGCAAUCUGCGAGACUAGCAAAAUAUACGCAAAUUUCAAGAUAUGAAUUUUUCUUUAUGCCUCAUUAUCAAACUUGUAUAAUAACGAGAUCAUGCCAAAAUAAAGGAAGAACUUAGAAUUAACAUACCUGUAGUAUGGAAAAUACGUAAAGGUUGCACCGUACUCUAUUAGAAUCGUAAAAUCACGUGGCAUCUUCACUUGCAUUCUUGGACGUAUUAUUUUGCUUUUGGUUUAUAUAUAGCAUUCAACAGUAUGUUUAAUCUGAUGUGUCUUAUCCAUGGAAGAAUACAUAAUUCCUUCAAACUUGAUAGAGAAGACAAGUGACAAAAAGUCCUCAAAUAGGCAAAUUGGGGAAAUAACGUGAUAGCAUGGUUACUUUAAUAUUGUUAUGGAUUCAUUUUUGAUUGCAAGCUUCUAAGUUUGAUUUGGCUGAAUCCGUCACGUU